GACGUAGGGCGCGAGCGUUGUCCGGAUUUAUUGGGCGUAAAGAGCUCGUAGGCGGCUUGUCGCGUCGUCCGUGAAAACUUGGGGCUCAACUCCAAGCUUGCGGUCGAUACGGGCAGGCUCGAGUUCGGUAGGGGAGACUGGAAUUCCUGGUGUAGCGGUGAAAUGCGCAGAUAUCAGGAGGAACACCGGUGGCGAAGGCGGGUCUCUGGGCCGAUACUGACGCUGAGGAGCGAAAGCGUGGGGAGCAAACAGG
rnacentral:rRNA from 1 species